rfam:Wallemia ichthyophaga EXF-994 unplaced genomic scaffold scaffold27, whole genome shotgun sequence.
GUUCCCAUAGCUCAGUGGUCAGAGUGCACGUUUGAAGCACGUGAGAGGUAUGUUCGACUCAUGCUGGGAACA